CCCAGUGAGUGAGGCCAGGGAUCAAACCCUCAUCCUCAUGGAUACUGAUCAGUUCGUUACCACUGAGCCAGGACAGGCACUCCCAAGAAUUCAAGUUUUAUAACACACGUUCUUCUUCCUUUUGCUUGAGCCCCACCUCUAAACACAGUCCCCAACUGUUGGAGACCCUGAAACUGCUGAUUUCUGCAGUAAACAAAUUUGGCACACGUGCAAAAGCACAACCACAAAGAGAGCUUUAUCAUUGCCUGCACCUGAUUUUGCUCAUGACCCUACCUCACCUUCCCUAAUAAAAGUCAUGUGGGCUAAAGCCUAGGCGCCUUUGUUCUGUGGAACAGAGUGCCUCCUGGCCCCCACUUUCUAGAUGUAAAGGAGUCUUGUGUGUUUGGUUGUGCCGUGCUCUCCCUCUUUCAGGAUCUCUCGUUGCCCUGCAGCACUGGAUGCGGCAGAGUAGCCCCCACCAUGGGCCUGGAAGAGAAGGUUUGCUGUGAGGGGAGAAAAAAAAGGAAGAUCUGCCAGGAGCAGGAAAAAUGGAACUACAGACAGCGGAAACAGUAGCCUUGCAUACGAAGGAGUCGUGACCCCCCAGGACUGAAUGAAGAUGGUUCUGAAGUGAAGAGAGCAGCAGAGGGUGAAGAUUGAGGUCCCGCCCCCUUCACAGCCGUCCAGCCCUUCCCAGCCUUGCUGGAUCUCCCCCUCAGCUCAGAUGCCAUCAAGGCCAGCUGUGGAUCCCAGCACACAUCGGUGGUGACAAGUAAAUAAAGACAGCUUGGCCACAAGGACACGACCAGAUGGGACUGGCCCUGCUGUGUGGAGUACUUAGUAGAUAAGCAACUCCAAGUCAGGACUGUGGGCCCUGGAACCCAUGUGCACACUGUGGAGAAAGAGAAGAGCCAAUGUAUAUAAAUAGCGGCAUGAGAUAAAUGGACAGUAAAGAAUAAGAAAGCUCUUGCCACAGCCAAGCAGUGACACAGAGAGACCCUUAACCAGGCAUCCAUGAGGGAACUCCCAACCAGCAUGCUGGAUGAUACCAAUCAGCCCAGCUAAAUUCAUCAAUCCUGGUAUCGGAAUCCUGGGAGCUCCUGCCGGACUCAGUUGUAGGAACAGGACUAGAAUCCAAGAGGACAUGGGUUCCAUUCUUGAACUCCAUCGGUGGGUUAAGUACCCUGUGUUGCUCUGAGCUACAGUCUAAAUCGCAGAUGCGUCUUACCUGGGAAACCCCUAGCCUGGGAUCUUCCAUAUGCCACACAGAAAGAAUGACACAUACCACACACCACCCCUCAAGGAAUCUUAGAACUUGUCCACCUCUGCUUGGCUGGAAAGAGAGAAACCUGAUGCCGCAAUCAGAUCAACAUCUUCCUUGAUGUUUUCUUUUUUGAACUCUCGGUUAUGAGUAAAGAAACUUUCACCUAUUGAGGAAUGGGGUCGACCUAAACAGGCUAGAGAGAUUGAGGCCGACCCAGCAAUUUUCCGGGAAGAAAAACGGCGGCGCCGGCGAGGACGCACAGAUAAUGGCAGCUUCCUGGGUCUAAAGCACAGCCCCCAUUUCCGAACUCCAGAGCCUUGGAGGCAAAGACAGCCAGGACCCCCAUGAUGCUGGAGCUGCUGGGGUGUCAUCCCCACUGUCUCCCCGUAGUUCCCGGGGCCCGACCUCAAGAUCUGAACUUCAGGAAAACUGUAAAGGCACCCUGCUGACGCGUUUCUGGGCUUACCCACCAGGCCUAACUUCUACCUCUAGUGCUGGGACACCCUCUCCUGCUUCCCUGCGGCGCCCAGAAAGGCUCUGGUGGGUGCUGGUCGAUUCGACACCCGAGACAGGAGCUCCGCAGCGCUGACCACCUCCCCCGCAAACCUCCAGGUACAAUCUCCGGUGAGAGCACGAGGCAUACUCGCCCUGCAGACCGGGAAGAUCUCGCCAGCGCUGCCGGCUUGCCGGAACUCUUCUUCCCACAUCUCGUCCGAAUCACGUCCUUUGCUAAGAUCUCCGGAGCUCCGGAGAGAAGUGAGGCUGUAAAGUGGUCGCAAGACAACAGCAGGGAGGUGAGCAGUAUGGAUGAUUCUGGACCCGCAAGGGCGCACCGAAGGCCGUCUAGAUGCCUGACCUCACCCAGGCCCACCUCUGAGCAUGACCCCAGGUCACAAACUUUCAGCCUCCAACUAUAGUGCACGUGUUUUGGCUCCUGCUCAAUAGGGGACAUCGCUACCUAGUUGUUCCUUGCCACUGUGGUCAUAAAAGCACAAUAUCCCAUC